rnacentral:rRNA from 1 species
UACGUAGGGCGCAAGCGUUGGCCGGAAUUAUUGGGCGUAAAGAGCUCGUAGGCGGUUUGUCGCGUCUGCUGUGAAAACCUAAGGCUCAACCUUGGGCUUGCAGUGGGUACGGGCAGACUAGAGUGCGGUAGGGGUGACUGGAAUUCCUGGUGUAGCGGUGGAAUGCGCAGAUAUCAGGAGGAACACCCAUAGCGAAGGCAGCUCGCUGGGACGGUACUGACGCUAAGGCGCGAAAGCGUGGGGAGCGAACAGG